GGUUGGCUGGUCCCAUUGCCUAUCACGAGGUGGGCGGAGAGUCGGGCGGGGAGCGUCUCCGCCCCCCACCGGAGACUUGCCGCUAUCUUCAGGUUUGCCUGAGAGGGCGAGUUACCGGGAAAGGAGCAUCACAAUGGCAGCGCGCAUGCGCGCAGGAAUUCUGGGCCUUGUAGUUCCAGCCGCGGCCGCAGCCGCAACUGCCUGCCGGUCCGGAGCCGAGGAGCUGAGCUCCCGAGGCUCGUGCUGGGCGCACGCUGCUGUCCUCUGAGCUCAGUAGUUCGCUUGCUUAGAGGGGCGUGGUUGUGACCCCAGGAUUGGGUUUUGUGGAAGGAAGUCGGAAAGGCGUUGUCGCGUUAUGAAUUCACACACUGAGACAGUCACGAAGAAGGGCACCGAAUCGUGAGGCCCUACCAUGCCACCUCCUCAGAGCCAGAGCUGCCAGGAUCUGACACGUUGGCGCUGUCCCCAGAACCGCCCAACACGAACUCAGCAUCCCCGGCCGGCCCUGGCGAGAGGCCUGAAGGUUUAAAGAGGAAAGGAGACCGAAACCUCCAGAAGAGAAUGCCAGCCUGGAGCCCCAGGUAUCCUUGACGGUUCUCGCAACCCAUGAAGAAUGAGAGUUCCUUUCCUUUUUCAAGCACCACCAGCAAAGGGUUCAGUCAAUGGGCAUCCCCUGCGAGGACCAGUACGGAAAUCUAAGCAAGAGAAGGCGCAGUCCCUCGAAGACUCCAGGAAAAGCGAGGCGAGCAGAGCAAUGAGGUUGUGUGGGAUAAGCCUGUACAUUCAGUGUUUUGACUCCAGCUCUUUGAUGAAGAGGAAACCUUAAGAUUAAACCCCUCCCAUCCUCACCCACCAACUUAUAGAAGAAAAAUCCCAAAGAGGUUUAACAAUUUUUCGAGGCUAUGAAGCUAAUUCCUGGCAGAACCAAACCUCAAACUUACCUCUGUGGCCGGUGCUUUUUUUUUUUUUUUUUCUCCACUUAAUAAUCAAAAGGACUCCCAGGAGUCUGCCAUGGACUGAAAAUAUGCAAUGACUUAUGAGCUUCAUUUUACUUUAAAUCUUUCUUCACUCAAGUGACAUCAUGAUUAAAGCUGAUUAAUUGAGAGCAUGGAAAGGUUAAAUAUAAAUCCUAUAUUCAAUCUCUGAACUGUUAUAGAAACUGUUUCUUUUUGCUCAGGAAAUGCCACAGCCUCUCCAUAUUCUUUAAAAAAAAAACAGCAGACACCUCGACUGUCAUGUCUAGAUCUUGGAUAAAAAGCAGAACAAAGUGUACAUUAAAGGCAAUUGAUGAUGCAGCUCCUCUUGUUCUGUUCAAACUUAAAGAAGUUGCCAAAUUGUUUCCACUGAUUAAAACCACCAGUUGUUUUUCCCAUUACUUUGUCUCACCGAAUAUAGUUCACAAUAUUGGCUGGGCACGUAAUUUGAAUUGGAAGCGAUUAGGGUUUCUGCAAAUGCUUUUCCUUAAAAUUAAAGAAAUUUAUAUGGGAAAAAGUCCAGAUUCAUUGAAAUUAUGCCUGGCAAUAUUUCAAAUAGCGAUUCUCUGUUCAAAUAGAAUAUUUUUCACUCAGCAAGUACAGUGUUCUCUUCAAGCUACCCAGAUAUAAUCUCUGCUAUCAUGGAACCAAUGUCUUUCAUGGAUGAAAUCCACAAGGAAGAGCACACAGAGCAGAAAGACCAUUUCUUAUCAACACACUGUCCUACCAUAACAGCCUCCAGAUUGGAUUCAGAUUCUGUAAGUUCAUUAUGAAGCUUCCAGAACACUCACUACUCACUUAAGGAAAAUGCAGACUCCAGCUCCACAGUGAAGUGCAUGAAAAAUGCAAGCUCCGACCUCUUCCCCAUUCACAAUUUCUUGGCAGCAAAUGUUCUGAGAACAUAGUAUAGCUCCACAGAAAAGACACAGAACAGGGUGCUUUCGCUCAUCAUCUGCAGACCGUGGGCACCUCAAAGGGUAAGAAAACAUUCAGUAUGGUGGAGAAACAAUAAAAACAUGAUAUAUCCAGUUAGCGAUGAAUUGUGUUCAUCACUGGCUGGCUGCUUUGCAGCAAAGAAUGCUCUUAAAACACAAGAAAACAGGAAUCCCUGGGUGGCGUAGUGGUUUAACGCCUGCCUUUGGUCCAGGGCGUGAUCCUAGAGAC